rnacentral:rRNA from 1 species
GAUGAACGCUAGCUACAGGCUUAACACAUGCAAGUCGAGGGGAAACGACAUCGCAAGCUUGCUUUUGAUGGGCGUCGACCGGCGCACGGGUGAGUAACGCGUAUCCAACCUGCCCACCACUUGGGGAUAACCUUGCGAAAGUAAGACUAAUACCCAAUGACGUCUCUAGAAGACAUCUGAAAGAGAUUAAAGAUUUAUCGGUGAUGGAUGGGGAUGCGUCUGAUUAGCUUGUUGGCGGGGUAACGGCCCACCAAGGCAACGAUCAGUAGGGGUUCUGAGAGGAAGGUCCCCCACAUUGGAACUGAGACACGGUCCAAACUCCUACGGGAGGCAGCAGUGAGGAAUAUUGGUCAAUGGACGAGAGUCUGAACCAGCCAAGUAGCGUGCAGGAAGACGGCCCUAUGGGUUGUAAACUGCUUUUAUAAGGGAAUAAAGUUAGUCUCGUGAGACUUUUUGCAUGUACCUUAUGAAUAAGGACCGGCUAAUUCCGUG